rnacentral:rRNA from 1 species
AGAGUUUGAUCCUGGCUCAGAAUGAACGCUGGGGGCGUGCUUUACACAUGCAAGUCGAGCGAGGGGGGGAGCCCUCCCCAGUCGAGCGGCGAACGGGUGAGUAACGCGUGGAUGACCUGCCCUUCAGCGGGGAAUAACCCGGGGAAACUCGGGCUAAUACCGCAUACGACCGAGAGGUGAAGGGGGGCCGCAAGGCUCUCACUGAAGGAGGGGCCCGCGUCCGAUUAGCUAGUUGGUAGGGUAAUGGCCUACCAAGGCAACGAUCGGUAGCCGGCCUGAGAGGGUGAUCGGCCACACUGGAACUGAGACACGGUCCACACUCCUACGGGAGGCAGCAGUGGGGAAUUUUGCGCAGUGGGCUAACGCCUGACGCACCCACGCCGCGAGGAGGAUGAAGGUUUUUGGAUUGCAAACUCCUGUCAGCAGGAAAAAAGGGAAGGGACCUAAUACGUCCUUGACUUGUUUGUACCUGCAGAGGAACCCCCGGCUAACUCUGUGCCACCAGCCGCGGUAAUACAGAGGGGGCAAACGUUAUUCUGUAUUUUUUGGGCGUAAAGGGGCGCGUAGGGCGGCUUUGCAAGUGACGGGGUGAAAUCCCCUCGGCUUAACCCGAAGAACUGCCUGUCACACUGCUUUGCUUGAGUUCCGGGAGAGGUGGAGGUGGCAUCUCCCCGUGUAGCGGUGAAAUGCGUAUAUAUUGGGGAGGAAACACCGUGGGCGAAGGCCGGCUCACUGGGACCGGAACU